CGUAGGGUGCGAGCGUUAAUCGGAAUUACUGGGCGUAAAGUGUGCGCAGGUGGCCGCGCAAGUCGAGUGUGAAAUCCCCGAGCUUAACUUGGGAAUUGCGCUCGAAACUACGUGGCUCGAGUGUGGCAGAGGAAGGUGGAAUUCCACGUGUAGCGGUGAAAUGCGUAGAGAUGUGGAGGAACGCCGAUGGCGAAGGCAGCCUUCUGGGCCAACACUGACGCUCAUGCACGAAAGCGUGGGGAGCAAACAGGAUUAGAUACCCUGGUAGUCCACGCCCUAAACGAUGAUGACUAGUUGUUGGGGGAGUUAAAUCCCUUAGUAACGCAGCUAACGCGUGAAGUCAUCCGCCUGGGGAGUACGGUCGCAAGAUUA
rnacentral:rRNA from 1 species